AAUCAAUUUUUUUUCAAAGUACUCAUUUGUGUGCGCUGUUUUAAAGAGAAAUUAACGAAAAUCAUGCGUCUAAAACUUAUUAAGGUUCAGAAAAGAAUGCAUAAUUGUUCAGUUGUCUGUUUAGUUCUUUUUUGAAAAGCGUCCAAAAAUAGCAAGAAUGCGUCAUCUUUUACGUUUCUUAAUUAGUUUUCAGAAAACCAAACGUCCGAUUCCGAAUCUUCUAUCUCAUAAUGAUUUUUUAAAAAGCCUUGUGUAUCAAGACCUAAGCCGAAUGUACUACUACAAUGCCGCUUCCAUUGCCUUCAUAACCCUUCCCUUAACGUAUUUGUUAACGGUCAAUUACAAAGUUUGUAAAGAAUCGGAUAUUCUGAUCAACUAUUUAAAAAAAACCAAACGUCACAAAUUGACUUCUAUUGAUAAAGCCUUAUAUCUAGAACCAUACAAGCCAAACUGAAAAGUUGAAGAGUUAACGCUUUUAAAAAAUUAGUUUGACUGUUGCGUUUAAAAAAAUACAAAUUUUUUUCUAACGACGACAUUGUCAGCUUGUUACAAUUUUCUCUUGUAAAGUAAGCAUGCUAACCUGAUAU